AGAGUUUGUAUCAUGGCUCAGGAUGAACGCUGGCGGCGUGCCUAAUACAUGCAAGUCGAACGGAGUUAAGAGAGCUUGCUUUCUUAACUUAGUGGCGAACGGGUGAGUAACACGUAGGUAACCUGCCCUUUAGCUUGGGAUACCCAGAGGAAACUUUGGCUAAUACCGGAUAACAACAACCGAGGCAUCUCGGAUGCUUGAAAGGCCCUUUCGGGUCACUAAAGGAUGGACCUGCGGCGCAUUAGCUAGUUGGUGAGAUAAUAGCCCACCAAGGCGAGGAUGCGUAGCCGAACUGAGAGGUUGAUCGGCCACAUUGGAACUGAGACACGGUCCAAACUCC
rnacentral:rRNA from 1 species